rnacentral:rRNA from 1 species
AGAGUUUGAUCCUGGCUCAGAUUGAACACNGGCGGCAUGCUUUACACAUGCAAGUCGAACGGCAGCACGGGGGCAACCCUGGUGGCGAGUGGCGAACGGGUGAGUAAUGCAUCGGAACAUAUCUUAAAGUGGGGAAUAACGCAUCGAAAGGUGUGCUAAUACUCCAUAUGCUCUAGCGAGGAAAGCGGGGGAUCGAAAGACCUCGUGCUUUAAGAGUGGCCGAUGUCUGAUUAGCUAGUUGGUAAGGUAAAGGCUUACCAAGGCGACGAUCAGUAGCUGGUCUGAGAGGACGAUCAGCCACACUGGGACUGAGACACGGCCCAGACUCCUACGGGAGGCAGCAGUGGGGAAUUUUGGACAAUGGGCGAAAGCCUGAUCCAGCCAUGCCGCGUGAGUGAAGAAGGCCUUCGGGUUGUAAAGCUCUUUCGGUCGAGAAGAAAUGUCUAUGACUAAUACUUAUAGAAAAUGACGGUAUCGACAUAAGAAGCACCGGCUAACUACGUGCCAGCAGCCGCGGUAAUACGUAGGGUGCAAGCGUUAAUCGGAAUUAUUGGGCGUAAAGGGUGCGCAGGCUGUGCUGUAAGUCAGAUGUGAAAUCCCCGGGCUUAACCUGGGAAUUGCGUUUGAACUGCAGUGCUAGAGUGUGAUAGAGGAGAGUGGAAUUCCAUGUGUAGCAGUGAAAUGCGUAGAGAUGUGGAAGAACACCAAUGGCGAAGGCAGCUCUCUGGAUUAACACUGACGCUCAUGCACGAAAGCGUGGGGAGCAAACAGGAUUAGAUACCCCGGUAGU